rnacentral:tRNA from 1 species
CUGGCAGUGCAGCUCAGUGGUAGAGCACUUGCCCAGCAUGAGCAAUGCCCUGGGUUUGAUCCCCAGUUGUUGGG